UUUUGCAGGCACAAACUGGGAUGGUUUGAGGAAGAGGAUGAGCAAGUUCCUUCAGCCUCAUCAUGGCAGCACAAGCAUGUUGACAAGCUAUGUGUGUUUCACCUGCUAUUAACUUGCUGCUUGAUGACAAGCAACUGUUUCUUCCAGAGCAAACUAACACUGUCCAGGUUGAAAUUAGCCUGGUUGUGGCCCAUGUCCAAAGCAAUGUUUGUGUUUGUAUGUCUCCGAGUUUGGGGCAGCUGUUGCAAUGUGGCACUGUGGAUUGGGUCUGCAAAGGGAGGCUGCAUGAGGGAAGAGCAGGCACGAAAUACCUGUUUUUGCUUUAUAAAAACUUCCCUGUGGUCUCUACUUUGUCUGCAAGACCCACCUAGCACCUCCCAGUGAGGUCUACUGGGAAUCCCCUCAUGGCAGGGGGGGAGAGUUGGUUUGAGUGGGGGGGGAAAAGUCCCUGAUCAUCACAGGGGAGUUGGACUAAAUGACCCUUAAGGGCUCCUUCCAGCUCAAAUGGUUCUAUGGCUCUUUGAAAUGAGAGGUGCCCAUGGCUCUGUGCCCUUAGGGUGCAGCAGAAAAGAGAAGUGAAGCCGCGUGAUGCAUCCCAGCACUUUUGCUACUGGAGGAGGAUAUGCAGACGUUGCUGCUGUGCAGAGUGGUCUGGAGGUUCCACAGCUCCGUGUGUUUCUCGCCGUGUUUCCAUCCUGUCGAACACUCAGAGCCUGCCCUGCGCGCAUUUCGGAAGCGAAGGACUUUCCUAAUUACAGUGCGAACAAUCCGAGGUGGGCUCCUGUCUGUCUAACUGUCAGGGAGAAUAAGUCAGCAGUGAGUCAGAAGCAGAGAUGUGGAAAUGAUGCGGGAGAAAGGGAAUAGUCUGUGCUGGGCUUAAUCACAGGGGCCAGGUGCUUUACAUUUCUUCCAACAAAACUCUGUUUGCUGCGGGCGCCUGAGGCUAGCUGAGGCGGGCAGCAUAGCCGAGGCUCAUCAGGCUCACUUGCCUCCUGGGCACUGUCUUUCACUUGGUUGGGCAUUGGCAUCUCUGCACCCAUUGCAUCACACCCGCUCCUUGUUCUGUGUGUGCUCCCGGAGCGGCCGAGGUGCACCAUGCAGCCUUCCCUUGGAAGCUAUUUGCUUUGUCAUCAUUAUUAUUAUUUUACUAUUCUUUAUUGCUAUCAGCAGUAAUGCAAGCCCUUUUGCCUAUGGAAAGGAUUUUUUUUCCUGUUGUUUCUUCUGGAGGGAUCCAGGAAUUCUCCACUUACCUAUGUCGUAUUUAUUACGCUUGGUUAAAGAUCAUUAAAGCCUUUGUUAGCAGAGCUGACUGACAAGAAGAGUGGAUUAAUAUUAGAACACCCUGUCAAAAGUGGUGAAAAGGCUGGAUUGAUUUUAUGGGAAGUUUAGUCAGAGUUGUGUGUAAAGCCCUUGGGGGGUUACACUGCAGUGAAUCAAUCUCCUAUAUUAGCAACUCCCUCUGGGAAUAGUCGACUUCAGUGUUUAUUACAGCCGAGGCUGCAUAUAAUAGGGAUGGCAGCCACUCGCCUCCCUCUCUUCUUUCUCAUAAUUUGCUGCUUGCAAUUGCAGCCACACAGAGGAGCACCUGAGAUAAACAAAGGUGCUGGGCUCUGUGUAGCAGCAGAGCAGUGGGGGGGAUGAGAUGAGUGUCUGCCACCAGCCCUGUCCUGCUGCACCCACCCUGAGCUCUGCCUGAGGACCUGCUGAGAGCUCCUUUGUGGCGGCAGUUUUCAUCCCAGUGCCUGGGUCGCAAGAAGAAUGCACACAGGACAAUACCAGCGAGAGCUCCUGCAAACAUCAAUUAACAGAAUCCCACGCCGUGUGGGUAAGGAGGGUUUUGGCAACCCUGGAACAGAGACACGUGGUUGAAAGAGAUGUGACAAGGUAUCUGUGCACUUUGGAUCUAAUUGCAUUCAAUCACCUCUGGAUCUAAAGCAUCACUGGUGCAGCAGGGAUGCUGUGGGCCAGGAGGGACUGUGCACCCCAGUGCACGGCUCAUAGCACUGCAGUGAUGGCAUUCCCACAGCUGAUGGCUCCCGACCUUUGCCACAGCAGCUGCUUGAUGGAAACCAUCAGCACUUUUUGGAAAGACAGUAGAGCAGUAGAGGCAGGUCCUGCAGUCUGCUGGUGGUUCCUCCAGCUGUGCCUGCAUCCUUUUGUGCCGUACGCAACAAGCCAGAUAACUUUCAUUCCUCCUCUUCCACUGUCACUUCACUUUUUAUCUGCUCAACAGCAAUUCCUUUCUGCUCCCCCCCAUCCUCUUCUCUCACUAAUGCUCUUCACUUUCAAAUGCUAAUAAUCUGCAGCACUAAAAGGCUUAGAAGUGGUUCUAGAUUGUUUGAUCUUUGGCCUGUGAUCUACUUUCAUCUUCCAGCUUUCAAAUGUUACUUUGGAUUUACUUUAACCUAUUAACACGCUUGGUAUUCACAGGCAUGCACUUUUGGUGUGUUUUGCAUCAGAUCCACCCAAAUUCAAACGAGCAGGGGAAGUUACUCUUCUGGACACCAACUUUUCACAAUCUCUAUUUGCUCACAGGCACAGCGGGGGUUUUCCUCUCCUGUUUCCAUGUUCCCUGGGGAUGCUGAGGAUGAGGAUGCGAUGUUCCCCAUUGUGAGGGGACAGCAGUGGCCUUGGACCUGCAGCCACCAGCCCAGCACCCAGCAGGGGAUGUGGUGUAGGGGAUCGCCCUCCUCCUCUUCUUCCUUUACAGUGGCACCUCUGGAGAGAACGGCUUUGAAAGCGCUGCUUAUUUUCAGCAGCUCCUCUGGACUGUCUGGUCCUCAGUCAGUGUUGGAUGUCUGAACAGAGACAUCAGAGCCUUCCUGAAGCUGUUAUAACUUAAUCUGGCAGGCCAGCCUGCUCUGGCACCUCUUGCCAAGAGAGGAAGCCAGAGCACUAGAUGAUUUUCAGACAUUAGUGACUGCCAUAAAUCAGAAAGCAGAAGUUAUCGAGUGCUCUGCUAAUGGACAUUUCCUUCCAGAGUAUCCCCUCUCGGGCUUUGCAGGGGCACAGAGGCUGCUCCCAGUGGGGGAAGCCAAGGGAGCUGUGCCAAGGCUGGGAAAUGUGCUGAGGAAAGAGGCUGCAAGGUGAGAACCAGGCUCCAGCUCCAGCCUGACUGCUGCACUGCUGUGGCUGCUGGUGCUGCUGCUCUCUGUGGGGGCCCCCAGCCCCAUAAGCACCAGCCGUGCUUUGAGAGCUGUGCAAAUCCCAAGCCAUCAAAGGGACGGCAUCAUUGGAGGCCAACUUGCCUCAAAUGACUUAAAGUGCAGAAGGGAGAUUUCAGCCAAGCUGAGCGCUGGGCAGGUUUAAACUGUGUAGAAGUAGUCGAUGUGAGAUGGCAGUGCUCUGUGCUGUGCUUCCUGUCUCCUUAGGGCUGACAGGGGAAGGGGCAGAGCCUUGAGCCCUUUGCCUUCAAUGCUGAUUCCCAAUCAAAGCGAUGCAGUCCUCAAGGAGCAGCGAACUGUUUAAUAUUUAAACCCAAACAGCCCAGGCAAAGCUGCUUUUCUUUUUUAUUUAUUCUUUUAAUUAAAUGCCAAUUAGAGAGGGGGGGAAAAGGCAUUAAACACUUAAAUACACACUACACCCAGGUUGCUCAAAAUUGUUACGACCUAAUUAUCUA